rnacentral:rRNA from 6 species
UCUGGCGGCUUUAGCGCGGUGGUCCCACCUGACCCCAUGCCGAACUCAGAAGUGAAACGCCGUAGCGCCGAUGGUAGUGUGGGGUCUCCCCAUGCGAGAGUAGGGAACUGCCAGAC